UGUAGCAGCUUUUUAGAUCAUAUAAAUCUUUCACCUUUUACUAAAGAUUUCCAUGGAGAGGAACAUUUAUGAGUUUUUUAGAAUGGCCAGCAUAUGUGUUGUUUUAUUUCAAGAGCCU
ensembl:snRNA U5 U5 spliceosomal RNA